rnacentral:piRNA from 1 species
UGCACACGGACAAAUGCCAAUCUGCAUGC